UGCCAGCCGCCGCGGUAAUACGGAGGUUGCAAGCGUUGUUCGGAAUUACUGGGCGUAAAGGGGGCGCAGGCGGUUUGGUUAGUCUGAAGUGAAAGCCCGGGGCUUAACCCCGGAAGGCCUUUGGAUACUGCCAAACUAGAGUACGGGAGAGGAGAUCGGAAUUCCUGGUGUAGCGGUGAAAUGCGUAGAUAUCAGGAGGAACACCUAUGGCGAAAGCAGAUCUCUGGCCCGAAACUGACGCUGAGGCCCGAAAGCGUGGGGAGCGAACAGGAUUAGAUA
rnacentral:rRNA from 1 species